rnacentral:rRNA from 1 species
GACGAACGCUGGCGGCGUGCUUAAACACAUGCAAGUCGAGCGGUAAGGCCCUUUCGGGGGUACACGAGCGGCGAACGGGUGAGUAACACGUGGGUGACCUGCCCUCAGCUCUGGGAUAAGCCUGGGAAACUGGGUCUAAUACUGGAUAUGACUCCACGGUGCAUGUCGUGGGGUGGAAAGCCUUGUGCGGCUGAGGAUGGGCCCGCGGCCUAUCAGCUUGUUGGUGGGGGAUGGCCUACCAAGGCGACGACGGGUAGCCGGCCUGAGAGGGCGACCGGCCACACUGGGACUGAGACACGGCCCAGACUCCUACGGGAGGCAGCAGUGGGGAAUCUUGCGCAAUGGGCGAAGCCUGACGCAGCGACGCCGCGUGAGGGAUGACGGCCUGGU